rnacentral:SRP_RNA from 1 species
GCUGGGCAUUGUGGCGUGUGCCUGUAGUCCCAGCUACUUGGGAGGCUGAGGCAGAAGAAUCACUUGAACCUGGGAGGCUGAGGUUGCAGUGAGCCAAGAUUGUGCCACUGCACUCCAGCCUGGGCGACAGAGAGAGACUCCGUCUCAA